UUAAGCUCCUCUGCCCGUGUAGCAUCAGACGCUGCCGUGGACACAUCACAGCCGCUGAAGUUGGUGAUGUCCUGGAUGCCUCUCCAAACUUCUCGCAGAUUGUUGCUGGAAAUGUGAGACUCUAAACCAGGGGUGUCCAAACUACGGUCUGUUUUUAUUGGCCCGCAGCAAAUUUUGAAAAUAUAAUUGAAUAUGGCCCGCACAUGGCGCUUGAGCUCAACUCUGUUGCACUUCUCAGUUUCAACACUAGAUGGAGUCGGUCACAGAAAGGUGUUUCUCCGCUGUACAAAAUUAAGCAAAGAAGAAUAUUUACCACGAGACCCCAGAAAUGGCAGCACUGAAGAAACGCAAGAUAGAAAAUCUUGCCGUGAUGAAAGAGUAAAAUGUCCGUCGGCACUAUGAGACCAAGCAUCAGAGCAGCUACGCUUCGUACACGGCUGCCGAACGAGCACAGAAAUUCAAGCAAAUGGCAGCUAGCCUGCAAGCUCAACAACAGUUUUUUUCCCAUCACGGCUUCAUAAGAGCAAAGGGCACAGGCUUAGGAAGUAAAGGAAGCUCCUAUGAGCCGUCUCCGUCUGACACCUACAAGGAUGCUGUUCGCAAGGCCAUGUUUGCACGCGUCACAGAGAGUGAACCUAAAAGGUGAAGAAAAUGCAUUCUGAACUGUGAAAAAGUAUUCCCUUUAUGUAGAAAAGAACUUUUUGUUUUUGGAAUUUUUUUUUGUUUAUAGCUUCAUAUUUUGUCACAGAGUGUAAUUGUAAAAUGAAGCUUUCUAAAUUGUGUGCGUCAAAUUGUGUGUUAAAAUUGUCCUCGUUGGUCACCCAUAAGCCCCUUUUUUUUGGGUCUACUUUUCUGAGAAAACAGUCGACUCUUUAUAAUCUACAAAAUCAUGCGCUCUGCCAGUCAACCACACUAACGGCUAUGUAUGUGAAGAUCUGCUGGCUUCAGCUGCUCAAUUAACCCGUUCUGAACUGCCUGGUUGGAAUGAGGUUUCAUUGUCUGAGUGAAUGUUUCAUUUUGACGUGCGCUUGUUUUAUGUGGCACAGAUCAGCAUCACUGCUCCCACUGAGAGCAAUGUUCUUCACAUUACAGGUGAGUUAAAAAUACACAGUAAUCGUGUCGAUAUGUCACCUCUUGUGUGCGGCCCGGACCUUUGCUCAUUUUUCUGUAUUUGGCCCUCACCAAAAAAUCUUUGGACACCCCUGCUCUAAACGCAUCCUGUGGUCUGCCUUGGCUGCUUUUACUCCUCUUUUCAGGUCAGCUCGGGCAGCACUGUAUAGCGCUCCGUCCCCUGACCUGAAGGCGGGGUCUCGAGCUCUGAGGAGGGAGCGGACUUGGCUGGUCAUCCAGGGUUUCUGGUUUGGAAAAAUCCUGAUGGUUUUGUCCACAGUCACAUUCCCAAUGCAGAACUUUAUGUAGUCCAACACUGUUCCUGAGAGUGUCUCCAGCUCCUGAUGGUGGAAUAAGUACCAGUCUGUCUGCAGGAAGCAGUCCUGCAGCAGUGGAACGGCAUCCUUAGGCCAGACUGUGAUGGUCUUUGUGGUGGGCUUAGAUUGGCGUCUGAGGGGGGUGUAGGCUGGGAAGAGCAGGAGGGAAAGAUGGUCUGACUGCCCGAGGUGGGGGAGGGGGAUGGCUCUGUAUGCAUGCUUGAUGUUCAUGUAGACAUGAUCCAGAGUGUUCUCCCCCCUUGUAGAACACUUCACAUGCUGAUAAAACUUCGGGAGAACAGUCUUUAAAUUGGCCUUAUUAAAGUCUCCUGCCACAAUCGGGGUGAGCCCGUAGGUUUUUGUUUAUGACGUUCAGCAGGAGAGAGAGCGCUUUGUUUACGUUGGCGUCUGGCGGGAUGUACACAGCCAUGAUAAGCCGUUUCUCUCCCCUUGGACUCCUGCUGCAAAGAGCGUCCCUCACAGAAGAAAGUGAGCCCCCCUGUCACUAUCCACUGUCAUGGUUGGACAUAUUAGAAGUCACUUCUCUAAUGCAAACUGCUGCUCCACCUGCUGGUCUAUGACAGUGUUGCUCCCAGAGGCUCCUUUUUCUCAUGGUGACCUCUGUCAGGUUGCAGACCCCUGAGUCAAAAACUAAAAGUCAGAAUGGUUAAAAGUUGUUGAAGGCUUUUGUGCGGCCAACAGCAAUACUAAAGGGCAUUUUCCCAACAGAAUGAAAAGAGCAAAAGCUAUUCCACUGUAUGAGUUUGAGGAUGAGCACAGCGUCACAAAUCACAGACCUGUCUCUACACUGCAACAACAUUUGAACAUUUUAGAAAAACUCUAGAAAUUUAUGAGGUUCUAACUGACUGACAAGAGAUCUUAAAAGAUAAAACUAGAGCUACGUUCAAAAAGAAAUAAGCAGUGGGGACAUUUACUAAAAAAAAACAUUUGACAAUAUUUAUUUACUAGAAGGAGCUGAAUUUGCUGAAAAAAUGGCUGAAAAUUUGAAGAUGUUAUAAACUUUGAAAUGAUCAAAUUUGGCCAUAAAUAAAGUGAAAACAGCACAAGAACAAAGAAGAUAUGUUUGUUAAAAUGGGAGCAUCGGGUAUCAUCAAAGCAGAGAAGUUGUGCAGCACAGCUCACGUGUCUCGCCAUGACGACGCCACCAAGCAGGUACAGUGGACAGGAGCUGUUCUUCAUCAUUUAGUGAGAAAACAGCUGUUUGUUUUGUUUGAUGUCAUUCCCUCUACCGUCCAGCAGGGGGCGGUGUAGGAGCAACAAGAAACAGUGUUUUUCACUAAAAAGAGAAAACUUGUUCAAGUUUCCAGAAGCUGCUGGAUCAACAACUGUGGGAGUUCUUGUCAGAAUAUUCUGAUGAAGAGUACAGAGUAGAUCAAAAGGCUGGGUCUGGAUGUUUCCUCAGGCUGUGCUACAGCGUCUACUCUCAGGUGUGAUCCCACUGCUGAGCGGCACGCGGGCUUUGACCUGCUCCGUUUCCGGCCUGGGCCGGUUCACCCGUCCUUGGACGACCUGGUCUCCCCGGGCUCCCCCAGAAAGACCAUAUCGGUACCGAACUCAGUGCAGACACCCAAUCAGCACAGUCCACUGCAGCUCAGAGCUCCUGAGCUCCAACCAUCCUCCAGCCUCAGCCUCCAUGAGCGCAGAUUACAGGCGCGCGCCACCACACCCGGCAGGAAACACAGAUCAGCUGUUGGACUAAGA